UCUUCCGUAGUAUAGUGGUCAGUAUGUGAGCUUGUCACCGCCCCUGCGUCCGAUUCGCUCGAGACCCGGGUUCAAUUCCCGGCGGGAGAG